rnacentral:rRNA from 1 species
GUGGGGAAUAUUGGACAAUGGGGGGAACCCUGAUCCAGCCAUGCCGCGUGUGUGAAGAAGGCCUUUUGGUUGUAAAGCACUUUAAGCGAGGAGGAGGCUACCGAGAUUAAUACUCUUGGAUAGUGGACGUUACUCGCAGAAUAAGCACCGGCUAACUCUGUGCCAGCAGCCGCGGUAAUACAGAGGGUGCAAGCGUUAAUCGGAUUUACUGGGCGUAAAGCGCGCGUAGGUGGCCACUUAAGUCAAAUGUGAAAUCCCCGAGCUUAACUUGGGAAUUGCAUUCGAUACGGGUGGGCUAGAGUAUGGGAGAGGAUGGUAGAAUUCCAGGUGUAGCGGUGAAAUGCGUAGAGAUCUGGAGGAAUACCGAUGGCGAAGGCAGCCAUCUGGCCUAAUACUGACACUGAGGUGCGAAAGCAUGGGGAGCAAACAGGAUUAGAAACCCGUGUAGUCC